GAGCAGAGGCGCUCACACACAGGGAAAGCAUCACCUCCUAUCCCCAAAUCUCUCCCACUCCGCUUUCAUGCAAGCAAACACACGCGCCAACGUCUCUGCGAGAUUUCUGCGACGUGGAUGGUAUCGCGAUGGAAGUGCGUUGACUUAUUUGGCCUAUCCUCCCUCACCGCGGCGGCGGUGAGGUGACAGCGGCAGCGUUCCGUUCCGGCCCCGCCGCCCUUCGGCUUCCAAGCCUUCAGCGCCAGUAACGCGUCCAUCCUCGGAAGAGACACCGAUGAGCAAGCUGACUCUGGCCAAUGUAAUCACACCGCAGCAGAUGCGGCAGUCACGGAUGCGGCCUCGUUCAGAGAUGCCUGGGCAGCGCGAUGCAGUCGCAUUGACAUGACUUUAGGAUCGGUGCCGUCUUCAGCUGCGCGCGUACCGCCAGCGGCAGCCGCUGCGACCACAACUACCCCGCGCCUUCCUAUCGCGCUUGCUUUGCGGCUCCCUGUUGCCGCGGCACAGCGCCCUUGACUGCUUCUACUAACUUGCCGAGGCUGAACGUCGCCGCCGUGCUGCCUCCUCCGCAUCACACGACACGCACCGCCCGCAAACAGAUGACCACGUUAUGCCGCUGGAGGUCAUCAUUGCCGUCUACGGGAUGCUCCUACGGCAGCAGGCGCCUCACACGACAACCGACAAUGCCGAGUACGGAGAUUUCAGCUCGCGGAGUGCAGCUUAGGCAACUGCGAUGUGGUCAACAUCGAGCGACACAUCGCCUGCGUCUGGCAGCUCAGUCUCCCCGCUUGGGUUCAUCGCUUAUGCGUUUCAGCAGCACUCGCCACUCAAUCCUAUCGCAGUAAUCCUCGGCGCUGACAAGGGUCGCGGUGCCGGUAACGCGCGUGAGCAGUAGCACAGCCACGGCGACCACGAGGACGCGUACGGCGGUAUGUCACCGCUGUCCUUGCUAACUCUUUCCACCGUUCUUCAUCUCGGGCUCCUAGAAGAGUUGCAGAUUGCUGCUGCACCGCCAUUAUCAUCAAGCGCUGCAGUCGCUCCUGCAGCAGGCACCGCUCCGGCGACGGCGUCGCCGUCACUGACUCGACAGCGGUGGGCGGCGGCCCAGACAAUCCAUCAUAUGCAGUGCUAUGGGUAUGCCCCGGAUUACUUCCGUGCCCUGGCAGCGAUUCCAGCAGCAGCGACGUCGGCACCGGGAGAGUAGCAUGGGAAGAGUUCUGGCCGAGCUUCCGAUGCGCUGGGGCUGGUCCAGCGUGCUGCGCACGCGAUGCCGCACUUCAAACGUCUGUUUUGUGCGCUGGAGGGUGCGUGGGCGAUGCACCACGAGCGGCAUUGCGGCGUGGCGGGUGAGCAGUAGCCAGUGCCUUUCAAUGGAAGGCAGCGGCACACGACCACCGCUCUUGGAGGCUACAAGCAGACAAGAGCUGUGAACUCUGUUGCUGAUGAGGCGUUGACGUCGAUGUUGCACGCCCUCGCCGCCACCCCUACGCGGGAAAGGUUGAGAUCCGCGGCGGCGGCCAGUGACGCGGUACACGUUGUGAGCCACUUAAUGACCACGAGGCAACUGCUCGACGUGAUUCGCGACCUUGUCGUCUUCGCCUGGCCCGCAAUAGAGGUGCGGCGGCGCCAGGCAGAAGCGCCGCGCAUGGUGCUGCGGGAAGCAGCCCGGAAAGCAAGGCACAUUUGGCGGGCUCGGGGCUCCGUCGACAACUGGCAUCUGAUGCUGCAGUGGUCGACGAGGAGCAGGACGCGCUUCUCCGACUUGUGCGCACCGCCACGCGCUUCUCCACAUUCAAUGACCUUUGUGCGCGGAUUGAGCAGCUUUUAACCCAUGAUGGCCAACUGGCCUUCUCUGAGGUGGCCGAUCCGCCAUCGCGGUCGUCCGUCCUGUCACCGCAGCAAGAAAAAGCGUUGCCGUGUCUGCUGACGCAGGACGUGCGUCGAGUGCUGCCGUGGACAACUACGUGCGCCAUACUCAGCGACACGUGACCUAAGCUGCUGUGCGUGAGCGCCGCUGCAAACGUCGCAAGGACAGAGGUGCGAUGUCGACGGGACGACGGCGUGGCAUCCAUGCGAGAGCUGCUUGAUGCCUUCUUUACUUCUCCGCACGCACCCACAGCGGCGCUGCCUUGGCAGGUGACAAGUGAGGCAGUAUGCCGGCCAACAAACUAUGAUGGAUCAUUUUGGUACCGUGUGAUUGUGAGCACCGACACCGCGGACGCCGAGGUGGCGCACUGGAGGCACAUAAUGUUCGGCGGCGAUGCAUACGCGUCCUCUACAGGGCUUCCGCCGGACCAGCGCACAACAGUCAUGGUAACGCGUCAUGAUGCACUUACCAGGGCCGCGCUGCCCGUCGUGCACCGCUGGCUGCAACCGGCAGAGGCCCUUGGCGUGGCGCUGCAGUGGCCUCGCUCGCAGUCACGCACGGUGCGCCGAGCAGUGGACCGCCGUUCUUGAGCGCCAGCCGACCGACGGUAAGGGCAGCAGUGCUACUGCAGAUCACUGCUGCCAAAACGAUGGCAGCGCAGAGACGGCGAUCACUCCAGAUUCUCUUCCUUGUUUGCGGUCACUGAUAGCAUCAGCGUGCCCUGCGACCGCGGCAGCACCGGCUGAGGGAGCUGUCGACGCGGUGCCUGCGGCGGUGGUGCAACUAAUGGUAGACGAGCAUCGCGCCUACGGCGCGCUCCUCUCUACUCCGGAGCAACUGGAAUGGAUCGAUGUGACCUUGCGGUGCACGCAAUGUGGGUCGGAGCGGCAGCGGGUCAUCAAGGCUGCCUUUAUGACCCGCUGGCAUUGUGGCCCAUAUACGCUAACUGUACACGAAGGCGCCUCUGGUGGCAGUGGUGGUGGCAGCGACGACGAGCAAGCAGUGACUGUUUGUUCUGCAAUGAAUCAUCUCAUCGCGUCGGCUGAGGCCUACGUGACGGCGAUUGUUCACCGCUGGGUAUUGCAAGAGGCAGAGGUGCUCGAGGAGUCGGCAGCAGCAACGUUGUUCAACCACGGGGACGACUUAACGCGGCGCGCAGCUCUCCUCGGAGAUGUUGGCCGGCUGCUGGCGGGCGUGAGUCGCGCCUUUAAUAGUGUACCUGGCGGCCUGCCAGCAGUGGAGGCGCUGUUCGCCACGGCUCGCGCUGCUGUGACGUCAGCGGGGCUGCGCCUCGAGCGCGGCGCCCAGCUUUCGAGUACUUCGUCGCUGUUCAGCGUCGCCGCUACAGCUGCUGCGCUGACGUCUGCCGGGAUGCCAGCCCCGUGCGACGACUCUGUCGCUGGAGUUGCAGCACUCUCUUGCUCUGCUUUACUACCUGAGCUCCAGUCUUGCAUGGAUGUCGAGCGUCGUCUUACGCGGCUGCACGGCUGGCUGGGGCUGCUUUGCACAUGCCCCACAGAACUCGUAGCAGACGAGCAGUUUGUGGUCGCGUGGCUGUAUGUGUUGAUGCGGCGUGUGGAGGAGAUGCACGGAUACGCGCGAGAAGGAUCGGCUCAGCUCAGCUAGGCACGGCGGCAGGCUGGGGAAACAACACACCACGCGGACAGUGCGAUUGUCUCUUGUCGUGUUGGAGCGGCCUCUGACGGCGGCGACGACAAUGGGUGGGGGUGCCAGUGGCCGCUGGAGACCGAAGAGGCUGCUGCGCGUCGUGUCGCGCAGUCCCUCAGCAGCCAGCCGUGGCCUGUGCUGCCUGCAUCGUCGCGGCUGCCGCCCAUGCUGCUGAACUGAUUGCUUGCACGGGGUGGCGCGCGAACCUGGAGCGACGCCGUACGCACGCUGCAAGCGUCGACAGACGCUGAUGGCGGGCUUAAGGCAGAACACGCUGGACGGCGCUUCUCGCUGCUCCUGCUACCGCUCGAUCGCGUCGUGUCGGUGGAGCACGCUGUGCGGGUGCUGCACACGCUGCAGGCGGCGGAGGAGCGAUGCGCCGCUUCCGCUACUCCUGCGGUAGCAGCAUCCAUGCAGCGGACACCGCCACCUUAGACACCUCUACAGAAGUGCUCCAGCCGCCGCUCGAUUACAACUGCAUCAGCGGUGAUUCAACUUGUAGCUGAGGUAGAGUCUCUGCCGGCCAUGACAGAGCAUGGAAAUGGGCAGCUGCUGUACACCAUCGUACUUGCGGACGUGUACGGCCAGAUCGAGCGCGUCUUACUCCGCGAGUGGUGUGGCUGCGCGCUAGCGGCGGUGCUGCUCUUCCUCUCACAACAGCCACAGUACACGUACCUGACCUACGUGAGAGAUGCGCCGCACCAUGCAGCCGUAGCUCUGCUCCGGCGGCAACAGGGUGGGCACCGCGCUUUCGACCUCCUGGAGACUGAAAACAGCGCAGGAAAAGCGCCGAUGGCGACGGCCACCCGCAGCGUGGGAGCAGCGUGGGCAAGCCGACCCAUGCGCCCAUCACUGCAGGCAUCGUUGAGCCCACAAGGUCUAGAGCGUAACCGAACGCUAGGCUCACCUGCCUUCGUCGCACCUGUCACUCACGCUGAGAUAUCGUUAGCGCGCUGGCGUGCCUGGAUGGACGAAACGGCUGCUAUGGCGAAUUUGGAUUACUACAUUCUUUUUCCGCCUCCCGCCACGACACUAUCGGCUGAUUCACCGGCGCCCACGGAGGCGUCGGCGGCCGUCGUCUCUGAACGUGUGCGGUGCACGGCUGACUUGCAUUCAGCGGCCAUUGGCUCCGUCGUCGACGCCGCUGCGUCGUGCAAGGUGAUGCAGACACGUCUACGCGAUGGAGCCUCGCCGAAUGAGGCAUCAAAACCCUCGGCCUCUACCCUUGGGGUUCCACUGCACCUUCUAGCGACUUUCAUCCGCCGGGAGUGCCGCAUUGGAGCCACACACAACGGGCCAUCAACGAAUGGCACAGCACCUGCCCUGGCGCGGGAUGAAAGUGUAGUACAAACCCGCUGUCAGCCGCAACAGUGUAUCUCUCUCGCUGCACCUCGCUCGCCCUUCUCUUCUUUCCUGUAUUCUGUCUCCUCACUCGAGGUGCUCGCGGGCGAGAACUUGCAGAGAAGCUUUACUGGUAAUUUGGCAGCGCUAGCUGCGGCACCGCCUUGCCCAUGUCGAGUCCGCACGGCUCAUCUGGAGCUGCUCGUUUUGUUUUUGCAGGUGCUGCGGCGCAAGCAAUCGGAGGCGGCGGCGCGCAGUGGUGAUGCUGCGGCGGGAGAGACAAUCGAAGAGUUGACCGCGGCGGUGCUGGCCGAGCGGUGCGACCGAGGAGGUCGUUGUGGAAGUGGUGGAGGAAAGGAAGCAACAAGCCAACGGUGAAGGCGAUCGAGCGCCGGGGGAGCAGCGCUGACGUGCUUGAGUCGACGCAGCACUUUCUUCAGAGAGUAGCAUGGGCGCAAGACCGGUGCGCUGUGCUCUCGUGGCUGUUCGCUGAACUCACACUUCCCGUCCCUUUCGCCAUACGCAGCCAAACAGCCUGGGCGUCAUCCACCUGCCUUGGCGAUAGAGGGACCGCGGACGCAAGCUCGAGCGCAUACACCUCCGCGCAACGCACAAGGACAAUGUGCAGGGGAGUGUUGCCGUGCCCACAGAACCCCUCCUUACCGCUACCCCGCCGACGAAGGAACAACAAAACACCAUCUCAACUUCAACCAGCUGUCGACACGCCUCCGGCGACUGCUGGAAGGCAUGGGGUGAGCUGGGCCAAACCAUCCAGAGCUGUGCGGCAGGUGCGCAUGCUGCUCCCACGGCGCUACCCCCUUUCCCGCAUGUGCGACAGUUUCAUGCGUACAAACGUCUUUCUCUCUCCUUCGCGCGUGCCGCUAUGGGCGGCGGCGCGUCGGUGUCUUUGAUUGCACAGCUCACCGCCUCGCCAUAUUUUCGUCGUGGCCACGCGACCCCCCGACCUUCCCCUCCUCCGCCCCCAAAGACAAGCCAGACAUACCGACCAUGCCGUCUGCCCGCGUCUCUGCUUACCAAGCGCGCCACGCACCCCUUCCUCGGCCCUGAAUCUUUCGC
rnacentral:misc_RNA from 1 species